CCAUUAGGGACGCGUCCUAGGGUUGGAGGACGACUCUAGCACCCCUUUGGUCGUCCUCCCCUCUAUUUAUUUACAUCUAGAGCCGCCAUGAACAACUGGGUUUUGUUUAGAUCAAGUUUAGCCUUCGCUACUUGCUUGUAGACGCGCGUGCAGGAUCAGUCGCCCGUCUCCUUGUCUUCGGAACCCCAUUGUUGAUUAAGAUUCAGUUUAAAACCUUCAAUUCAUCUUGCAAAUUCUGUGCUUGUUUCCUCGUUCUUGCUAGUUCUUCGAUUGCUUGCAAGACGGGAGCCCUAGGGGCUGGUUGUCGCGAUCCACAAGAUCGUGACGGCUGUUGGACGUGGUGUAUCGGUUGCUAAGGCGCGGUCUUGAGGGCUGUAGUCGGGCUGUGAACGUCAUCUCCAUCCACUAAUCGAGUUAUCCAGCGCCUCUCAUCGAAAGAUCAGGCCAAAAACCCUAGCGGGUUCGCAUCAGUUGGUAAUCAGAGCAAGGUUCUUCGGUGAGAGACUUCUAAUCCUUUGCUGUUUUUAAUUAAUUUCCUAUAGUCCAGAAAAGCCAAAAAAAUAUAGUAGAUUAGUUUUUCCAUAAUCCUAUUAAACCUUUGUGCCUUGGCUAGUACCGUUUUAGUUAGGGCUUGUUGAAUUUGCGUUGCUUCGGUUUGUGUCGAGUUGCUGGUCUUAGUGUCUAGUCCUUUAGAGUUUCGAGUUCUUGUCACCAUCUAUACACAGCCGAGUAUUACCAUAUCUUCUCUCUGUCGAAUCUGUUGUGAAGUCCGAAUUGAACUGUGAUCCAAAAAGAAAGAUAACUCCAUACUUGUUCGGCCUUACUCUAGAGAGAGAGAGAGAAAAGAGAAAAAAAAGUGUGUGUAGCGAAUUGCUCUUUUGUAUUCCUUUGUUCAUAUAAUCAGUUUUUGAGGUUGCCCAAAAAAAGAAAAAAAAGAAAAAAAAAGAAAAGAGAAAAGAUUCAAAAGAAAAAAAAAGGGGCUGUUUUUCAUAUUGAUUUUAGGUUUGUCCCACCUUGUUUUCGGGGGUGUGCUGUGGUUUUCCUUUGUGUCCAGGCUCGCGCCUCUAGCACGGUCUAGGCUAGGACCAGCACAGUACCAUCGUCGAACGCUUAUUCAGCUCGCUUUUAUAACUAAUGUGGUGCUAGUUCGUUCCUUGUUUCAGCCCACCUAUAGCUCCACAUACUCUACAGCUUGACAGGUCUUGUGCUGCAGCACCGAUACACUUCGUCCAUUGCUGUACACUUGUUGGCAGACGACCCCUCCUGUCAAGCAAGGUAAGAAUUGGUAAGAACUUGUGUUACAGGUUGAGUGUGAGCGACUUGCUGUAGCUACAUCCUAGUAGUUGUAGGGCUUUUAUUUCUUCACUUGCCUUUUUGUUGACUUUGUCUUUGAACCAUGCCAGGGGCAGAUGAUGGUAACGAAACACCACUUACACCUCGCACUAAGGGCAUCAUACAACAUUUUGAAAGGAAAGUGAAGCUGCACACAGAGGGACUUGAUAACGACUUGCAGGUGACGAAUGAAAAGCUGGGGC
rnacentral:lncRNA from 1 species